rnacentral:lncRNA from 1 species
GCGUGGAGCAGAAAGAAGUGGAGGUUAAGUAUGCGAAGACAGAAGAUCAGAUUGCGGAUAUUUUCACGAAGCCCUUGAAGCAUGAUGUGUUCGUCAAGAUGAGGACGUUACUCGGAGUUACGAAGAAUUAAUGUUUGAGGGAGAGUGUUGAAAUCAAUAAAAGCCUAAUUAAAUAAAAAUUAAUAUGAAGAUAUUUUCAGAGUUGAAGAUUGAAUGGUUUCAAGCUGAAGGAGUUUUCUGGAGAAUGGAUUUGAAAAAAUUUAGUGACAAAUGGGUUGGUGUGAAUUAACAAGUGGAGUUUAUGGAGAAAGUAGUUUGUGAAGAAGAAUGAAGAUGAUGAAUCUGGAUAGAAGAAGGAAACAAAAUAAAAAAAUGAAAAUAUCUAUAGUCUAAGCCGGUUUAUUGAUAGUAUACAUAGGUUAUGGGUGUAUGUGUUUUAGGUGUAAGUCAAAAAUAAAA